rnacentral:sRNA from 1 species
AGAUCGCGCCACUGCACUCCAGCCUGGGCGACAGAGUGAGACUCUGUCUUCAAAAAAAAAAAAAGAGAAACAACCUUUAUGUCUAAGAAUUGGAGGACUGGUUGGAUAAAAUGAUAGUCAUAUGGGAGAUUCCAUGGAGCUGGAAAUAUGGUGUCUUGAAAUGAAUGAAAAGUGUGAUAAAGAAAUCAAAGUUUCCUACACGGUGUACAACAGACUGUCAUUGCUGCUGAAGUCUCUUCUUGCUAUAACUAGGGUGACACCAGCCUAUAGGCUCUCCAGAAAACAAGGGCAUGAAUAUGUCAUAUUAUACAGGAUAUAUUUUGGAGAAGUUCAGCUGAGUGGCUUAGGAGAAGGCUUCCAGACAGUUCGUGUUGGGACAGUGGGCACCCCUGUGGGCACCAUCACUCUUUCUUGUGCUUACAGAAUUAACUUGGCAUUCAUGUCCACCAGGCAAUUUGAGAGGACCCCACCUAUCAUGGGGAUUAUUAUUGAUCACUUUGUGGACCGUCCCUAUCCCAGCUCCUCUCCCAUGCACCCCUGCAAUU